rnacentral:rRNA from 1 species
UCGACGGCAGCACGGGUGCUUGCACCUGGUGGCGAGUGGCGAACGGGUGAGUAAUGCGUCGGAACGUACCGAGUAAUGGGGGAUAACGCAGCGAAAGUUGUGCUAAUACCGCAUACGCCCUGAGGGGGAAAGUGGGGGACCGCAAGGCCUCACGUUAUUCGAGCGGCCGACGUCUGAUUAGCUAGUUGGUGGGGUAAAGGCCUACCAAGGCGACGAUCAGUAGCGGGUCUGAGAGGAUGAUCCGCCACACUGGGACUGAGACACGGCCCAGACUCCUACGGGAGGCAGCAGUGGGGAAUUUUGGACAAUGGAGGCAACCCUGAUCCAGCCAUUCCGCGUGAGUGAAGAAGGCCUUCGGGUUGUAAAGCUCUUUCAGCUGGAACGAAACGGUACGCGCUAACAUCGUGUGCUAAUGACGGUACCGGCAGAAGAAGCACCGGCUAACUACGUGCCAGCAGCCGCGGUAAUACGUAGGGUGCGAGCGUUAAUCGGAAUUACUGGGCGUAAAGCGUGCGCAGGCGGAUUGUUAAGCAAGACGUGAAAUCCCCGGGCUUAACCUGGGAAUGGCGCUUUGAACUGGCAGUCUAGAGUGCGUCAGAGGGGGGUGGAAUUCCACGUGUAGCAGUGAAAUGCGUAGAGAUGUGGAGGAACACCGAUGGCGAAGGCAGCCCCCUGGGAUGACACUGACGCUCAUGUACGAAAGCGUGGGUAGCAAACAGGAUUAGAUACCCUGGUAGUCCACGCCCUAAACGAUGUCAA